rnacentral:rRNA from 1 species
GAUGAACGCUGGCGGCGUGCUUAACACAUGCAAGUCGAACGGAGUUACAUGAAACCUAGUGAUUGUAACUUAGUGGCGGACGGGUGAGUAACGCGUGGGUAACCUGCCUUAUACAGGGGGAUAACAGUUAGAAAUGACUGCUAAUACCGCAUAAGCGCACAGUAUCGCAUGAUACGGUGUGAAAAGCCGAGACGGUAUAAGAUGGACCCGCGUCUGAUUAGAUAGUUGGUGAGGUAACGGCUCACCAAGUCUACGAUCGGUAGCCGAACUGAGAGGUUGAUCGGCCACAUUGGGACUGAGACACGGCCCAGACUCCUACGGGAGGCAGCAGUGGGGGAUAUUGCGCAAUGGGGGCAACCUGACGCAGCAACGCCGCGUGAAUGAAGAAGGUUUUCGGAUCGUAAAGUUCUUUAAGUGUGGAAGAAGAUGACGGUACACACAGAAUAAGCCACGGCUAACUACGUG